AGAGUUUGAUCCUGGCUCAGGACGAACGCUGGCGGCGUGCCUAACACAUGCAAGUCGAGCGAGAUCCAUCCAGUGGCAACACUGGUGAAGAUCUAGCGGCGAACGGGUGAGUAACACGUGAGAAACCUGCCCCGGAGACCGGGAUAACUCGAGGAAACUCGAGCUAAUACCGGAUACCCCCACCGAACCGCAUGAUUUGGUGAGGAAAUGCUCCGACGCUCCGGGAGGGUCUCGCGGCCUAUCAGCUGGUUGGUGAGGUAACGGCUCACCAAGGCUAAGACGGGUAGCUGGUCUGAGAGGACGAUCAGCCACACUGGGACUGAGACACGGCCCAGACUCCUACGGGAGGCAGCAGUGGGGAAUCUUGCGCAAUGGGCGAAAGCCUGACGCAGCAAUGCCGCGUGCAGGAAGAAGGCCUUCGGGUUGUAAACUGCUUUUGUACGGAACGAAACGGUCUGGGUUAAUACCCUGGGCUAAUGACGGUACCGUAAGAAUAGC
rnacentral:rRNA from 1 species